rnacentral:rRNA from 1 species
GAUGAACGCUAGCGGCAGGCUUAAUACAUGCAAGUCGAGGGGUAGCAAGAUUGUAGCAAUACAAUUGUUGACGACCGGCAAACGGGUGCGGAACACGUACACAACCUUCCUACAAGUGGGGAAUAGCCCAGAGAAAUUUGGAUUAAUACCCCGUAACAUAGCGAUGUGGCAUCACAUUGCUAUUAUAGCUUCGGCGCUUGUUGAUGGGUGUGCGGCUGAUUAGAUAGUUGGCGGGGUAACGGCCCACCAAGUCUACGAUCAGUAGCUGAUGUGAGAGCAUAAUCGGCCACAAGGGCACUGAAGAACGGUCCCGACUCCUACGGGAGGCAGCAGUAAGGAAUAUUGGACAAUGGACGCAAGUCUGACCCAGCCAUGCCGCAUGAAGGAUUAAGGUCCUCUGGAUUGUAAACUUCUUUUAUAAGGGACGAAAAAAGGUCUUUCUAGAUCGUCUGACGGUACCUUAUGAAUAAGCACCGGCUAACUCCGUGCCAGCAGCCGCCGUAAAAC